GGUUAACGCUGGCGGCGCGCCUAACACAUGCAAGUCGAGCGAGGACAUCAAUCCCGUAAGGGAGCGAUGUUCCUAGCGGCGAACGGGUGAGUAACACGUGGGCAACCUAUCCUGUCGUGGGGGACAACAUCGGGAAACCGGUGCUAAUACCGCGUAUGGUCACUGAUCGAUUGGUUGGUGAAGAAAGCAGCAAUGCGCGACAGGGUGGGCCCGCGGCCUAUCAGCUAGUCGGUGGGGUAACGGCCUACCGAGGCGAAGACGGGUAGCUGGUCUGAGA
rnacentral:rRNA from 1 species